rnacentral:rRNA from 1 species
UACAGAGGGUGCGAGCGUUAAUCGGAAUUACUGGGCGUAAAGCGCACGUAGGCGGAUCGUUAAGUCGGGGGUGAAAUCCUGGAGCUCAACUCCAGAACUGCCUUCGAUACUGGCAAUCUCGAGUCCGAGAGAGGUGAGUGGAAUUCCGAGUGUAGAGGUGAAAUUCGUAGAUAUUCGGAGGAACACCAGUGGCGAAGGCGGCUCACUGGCUCGGUACUGACGCUGAGGUGCGAAAGCGUGGGGAGCAAACAGG